rnacentral:rRNA from 1 species
UACGUAGGGUGCAAGCGUUGUCCGGAAUUAUUGGGCGUAAAGAGCUCGUAGGCGGUUCGUCGCGUCGGCUGUGAAAUUCCGAGGCUCAACCUCGGGUCUGCAGUCGAUACGGGCGGACUGGAGUUCGGCAGGGGAGACUGGAAUUCCUGGUGUAGCGGUGAAAUGCGCAGAUAUCAGGAGGAACACCGGUGGCGAAGGCGGGUCUCUGGGCCGAUACUGACGCUGAGGAGCGAAAGCGUGGGGAGCGAACAGG